UACGUAGGGUGCGAGCGUUGUCCGGAAUUAUUGGGCGUAAAGAGCUUGUAGGCGGUCUGUCGCGUCUGCCGUGAAAUUUCGGGGCUCAACCCCGAACUUGCGGUGGGUACGGGCAGACUAGAGUGUGGUAGGGGAGACUGGAAUUCUGGUGUAGCGGUGAAAUGCGCAGAUAUCAGGAGGAACACCGAUGGCGAAGGCAGGUCUCUGGGCCACUACUGACGCUGAGAAGCGAAAGCAUGGGGAGCAAACAGG
rnacentral:rRNA from 1 species